AAGUCGAGCGAACGGAUAAGGAGCUUGCUCCUUUGAAGUUAGCGGCGGACGGGUGAGUAACACGUGGGUAACCUACCUAUAAGACUGGAAUAACUUCGGGAAACCGGAGCUAAUGCCGGAUAACAUAUAGAACCGCAUGGUUCUAUAGUGAAAGAUGGUUUUGCUAUCACUUAUAGAUGGACCCGCGCCGUAUUAGCUAGUUGGUAAGGUAAUGGCUUACCAAGGCGACGAUACGUAGCCGACCUGAGAGGGUGAUCGGCCACACUGGAACUGAGACACGGUCCAGACUCCUACGGGAGGCAGCAGUAGGGAAUCUUCCGCAAUGGGCGAAAGCCUGACGGAGCAACGCCGCGUGAGUGAUGAAGGUUUUCGGAUCGUAAAACUCUGUUAUUAGGGAAGAACAAAUGCGUAAGUAACUGUGCGCAUCUUGACGGUACCUAAUCAGAAAGCCACGGCUAACUACGUGCCAGCAGCCGCGGUAAUACGUAGGUGGCAAGCGUUAUCCGGAAUUAUUGGGCGUAAAGCGCGCGUAGGCGGUUUCUUAAGUCUGAUGUGAAAGCCCACGGCUCAACCGUGGAGGGUCAUUGGAAACUGGGAAACUUGAGUGCAGAAGAGGAAAGUGGAAUUCCAUGUGUAGCGGUGAAAUGCGCAGAGAUAUGGAGGAACACCAGUGGCGAAGCGACUUUCUGGUCUGUAACUGACGCUGAUGUGCGAAAGCGGUGGGGAUCAAACAGGAUUAGAUACCCUGGUAGUCCACGCCGUAACGAUGA
rnacentral:rRNA from 1 species